rnacentral:rRNA from 1 species
GAUGAACGCUGGCGGUAUGCUUAACACACGCAAGUCGAACGGACUCUUCGGAGUUAGUGGCGGACGGGUGAGUAACGCGUGAGAAUCUGGCUUUGGGUUCGGGACAACCACUGGAAACGGUGGCUAAUACCGGAUGUGCCGAGAGGUAAAAGAGAAAUUGCCUGAAGAUGAGCUCGCGUCUGAUUAGCUAGUUGGUGAGGUAAAGGCUCACCAAGGCAGCGAUCAGUAGCUGGUCUGAGAGGAUGACCAGCCACACUGGGACUGAGACACGGCCCAGACUCAUACGGGAGGCAGCAGUGGGGAAUGUUCCGCAAUGGGCGAAAGCCUGACGGAGCAAUACCGCGUGAGGGAAGAAGGCUCUUGGGUUGUAAACCUCUUUUCUUAGGGAAGAACAAAAUGACGGUACCUAAGGAAUCAGCAUCGGCUAACUCCGUG